CACAUAUAUGUUCAAUAUGCAGUGAAUUAUUUCAAGUGUGUAAAAUGUAAAAGAAAUGGGGGAAAAUGACACGAAUAUGUUUCUAUUUUGUGUCUCUGCAAUUCUGCAUUUUUCUUUCUGUUAUGUACACAUAUGUCAUCAUC
rnacentral:ribozyme from 1 species